rnacentral:rRNA from 1 species
UACGAAGGGUGCAAGCGUUACUCGGAAUUACUGGGCGUAAAGGGUGCGUAGGUGGUUUGUUAAGUCUGCUGUGAAAUCCCCGGGCUCAACCUGGGAAUGGCAGUGGAUACUGGCAAGCUAGAGUGCGGUAGAGGGUAGUGGAAUUCCAGGUGUAGCAGUGAAAUGCGUAGAGAUCGGGAGGAACACCAGUGGCGAAGGCGGCUACCUGGACCAGCACUGACACUGAAGCACGAAAGCGUGGGGAGCAAACAGG